rnacentral:lncRNA from 1 species
AGACAAUAUUUAUUAGCACAAAUACAUUUACAUUUAAGACAUUAUUAAUGUUCAUGAACAUAAAAAACAGAAAAUAAGUAUACAUAAUAAAUAAAUUGCUUGGCUAAACGCAGCUGGAUACGACUGCAGAGGUCCAACUAUGAACAGUUGGGGCAAAUAAUGGACACAAUAUUAGCACUUGAUACAGGUCUGAAUUUGGAUUGUAAUUAAAUAUUUGACACAAAAUAGGUUUCUAACACAGAAUAACUGUAGUUAAAGAACUUAAAAUAGGUUAUAUGAUUUCUAAUUUCUGAAAUCUGAAAUGAGAAAAAAUUGUCCCUUCCCACAAUUUCUUAUUCCCUCUUCUUUAAUCCCUUUUUCCCAAAAUAAAUUCUUUCCCUUAAGAUAUGCUCAUAAUCUUAAUACAAAUUUCUAAUGGAGUUUGCAACCAAAAUUUACCAUUUAAAUACAUAGUUCUUUAAGUGUGGAUUUGAUUACCUCCCUUAGACCUUUGUCUUAUUUGUCCAUUAACCAGGAAACCCUUGUUUUUCCAAAUGUUUUGUCCCCAAUUCCUAAAUGGUUUGAGCCACAACCCCCAAAGUCAAUCCUAACCAUCCCUUUGUUGUAUGAAUACUUGUGGUAUAAUUUCAGAGAGAUUCAUACACAAAAACACAAGUUAUUGUCUGGAAACUACUAAAAUGCUUAUUUGAGCCCCUUUUUUGGCCCCUAAUUCCCAAACUGUUGGGACCAUUACCCCCAAAUUUCAUCCCAACCUUCCUUUUGAAGUUUACACCUUGUGUAUAAAUUUCAUGGAUUUCUAUUUACUUGUAUAAAACAAAUAUAAGUUAUACAGAUGCUCUCAAUAAAAGACAAUCAUUACUACACUUUAUGGUGAUUGUUAUAAUGACUGGCAAACUGCUAUUUAAAAGUGUGGUCAUAUGCCUCAAUGUUAUAGCUUAAUGCAAUUAAAUAAAAAUUGAAAUUAGGAUUAGUAUUAAUAUUGGGUUUAAUAUUGGGUUCAUAGGUAUCCCUAAAUAAAAUCCCUAUAGAAUGGACAGACUGAGAAGAAAUGGUAUUCAUCCUCAAUUUCUAGUCUAUUACAUGAUAAGCUAAUGUGUUGAUUUCUUUCAAUGUUGGUAUAUUAUAACACCCCCUUUCAAUUGCUAGGGAAUGGGCACUGAGUUUACAUAUACUGAAUACUGAUCUGAUUUACAUAUAUCAAUAUACAGGGGCCUUUUUCCAAUUUUGUUAGUCUUACGAAAGAAAUUUAAUUUUGCACAUUUAUGGAUAGAACAGUUCAUAAUUUGAUAUGCCUGGUCAAAAACCAAUGUGUCUUCAGAUGACGAUGCAGACAACGACUACACAGUCGACAACAUCAUACCAUUAUACAAUCCCAUAAAAAAAUUUGCUGUCAUGCACACCUCUAUUAUGUGUAUGAACAUCCUACAAAAUAUUAAAGCUGUAUCGUCAGGGGGGGGGGUUAAAUUGUCUUUCAGAAACAUCCAUUUCAGUUUACAAUUCAAUUCACCAAAGUGUACAUUUUAUCAUAAUGCACCAAAAGUUACUGUUAACAUCAUUUGGCAAGAAUUUUUACUGUUAUUGGUCAUGCAGGUACCCCCAUCUUUUUAGCUCAUCACUUUGCCUCUGAUGGGUGUCAUCGUUCGUCGUCCGUCGUCGUCGUUAACUUUCACAAAAAUCUUCUCCUCUGAAACUACUGGGCCAAACUAAACCAAACUUGGCCACAAUCAUCAUUGGGGUAUCUUGUUUUUAAAAAAUGU